rnacentral:piRNA from 1 species
UGGCAUAUGGACUGUCUAUUCUCAGC